UUCACUUAUGAAUAUUCAAAUGUUUAUCAAAAUUAUAUGUUGUGAUUCAGUUGAUUUCGGGCUAAAAAUAGUAGGAUAAGACUCAAAUAAUAGAUUGGAACGCAAUGUAAAGUGUCUUGAACUAAAACAGAAAGUUAAGAUGGAGUCCACAAUGGCUUUCCUUCCUAGUGUUGGGGCACAUAGAAAUUGAGAUUCAAUAGCUUGUGAUGAUUUUGCGACGUACGAAGUUCAUGAUGGGCCUUACACCGACUGUUUUUGACUUUUUCAUCUUCAUCCCAAUUUUCUUUUGCUUCGUCUCCUCUGUAGCUUUCUCUGUUCAAUUAUUUUCUACUUGCACUGUUAAGGAUUCCAGUACCUCAAUAUCAUGCCAUUAACUAGGAUCUUUUAUAGUUCUCAUUGCCUCAUUCUCUUUUACUUCCGUCAUUCUUCUUCAUUGCAUCAGGUAAGGAUACUGAUAUUUUAUCUUAAGGUUUAAAAUUGGAGUUUUAAUAGUUUAAUUAACUCACAAUUGAGAGAUGGAUCUGACAAUUGAAACAUUCAAAGGUGAUAUGACUAUUGUCAAUUGAGAGCUUCUCGUUUCAAAGGUGAUAUGACUAGAUACUCAAUUUUGGCUCCCCUCUCAUUCACAUUUUAUUUUGCGUCAUUGACAAGAGAAGAUUCUAUAGGAGCCUCCUCCUAUUUGUAAAGAUCCUGGAGGAAUCAAAAUAGUUGAAAAAAAAGCUAUUGAUGUCAUAUCAAUAUGUGAUGUCCAUUUUUUUUAUCCCUUUCAUUGAUAGUUUGUGAUAGGUAAGUUGACUUUGUGUUGCAAAAAAAUUAGCACUGGAAUACAGUUUCUCUUCAUUAAAGAAAAAGAUCAUCUCUCUUUCACCUUUUAUGUGCUUCGCUUGGCUCAAGUAUCAAGAUUAGUGAUAUUAAGGGGUGUAAAGUGUGCUGCAAGUUUCGAAGUGAAGCAACAGUCUCCUCAUUUAAAAAUGCUAGAAAAGAGAGAGGUUGACAUCAAAAAUGAAUUUUUUUUGACAAAGAUAAAUGCUUCCUUAAGAUUGCUUUAUGAUAAAUUGAUGAAGGAUGAAGGGGAGGAAACAUUGAAAAUGAGUAAUAUGGACCACAAAGUUUGCUACUUACAAAAUGAGGAAGGAUGAGAUUAAGGAAUAUCUUGCAAACACGAGUAUGGAUCAAAGGGUGAGUACCCUCUGUUCUAUCUAUGUAGCUCUGUGGUGGUCUUUUUUUCACAACAAACAUGUUAUUUUAUGAUAAACAGACAAAUGAACAUAUUGAAGUUUUCUUACCUAAGUGUAUGUUGAAAUGGCUUCACAGUAUGACUCAACAUAAAUGCUUUUUUUUUUAAACUUAUAUUUGUCAAAAAUGUGUUCCUUGUGUGUCUGUAUAUUGCAUAAAGAAUAUCUUGAAUGAAAAAUAGAGAAAAGAGUAAUACACAUCAAUUUAUUGGAAAGGACAAAUUAUAAAUAUAUUAUUUUUUUCUUCGUGGAAGAAUAUUUGUUGAGAGCUCAAAUUUCAUACAGCGGGGCUAUUAUUCUUACAAAAAAGAGGUAUAUAUGCUAAAACACAUUCUCUCUUAUGGUCUUUUCUAAUGUUGUGAUGAUGUUCCAACUUUUCUCGUAACAACUUGAUGCUCUAAUCGGAUCACUGAAUGUCAAGGGUGAAAGAGGAGAGACUCUUGAAAGGAACUGGAAAAUCUCUACCACAAAAUAA